CGUCAAAACGUGAUGGGAAGCCGAUUGCAGCUCAGUGUCGUCACGUCGCGCUUCACCGGAAUCCCUAAAAAAAUGUAAAUAUUUACGUCGUCAUGAAGCGCAAUACGAGCAAAUUAAUACUGGCAGCAACUACGGCCAAACCAAAUAGGAUAAAGAUCAAACUCAAAAUCACAUAUCCAGGUUUAUUGGAAAGCGCUUGAUCAUUCUGCAAAGUAAUUUGUCUAUAAAUCUUACUGCUUCUCUCGCUGACGAUCAAUCAAACGUUAUUUACCUGAAGAGCGACAUAGUCACCAAAACCUAUAGUUCUUCGGUUCUUUGACAUCUGAGAUACGUCUUUGCUCGUCUAAUCACAACUGAUGCAAACUUGUUCAAUCGUUCACCAA